rnacentral:lncRNA from 1 species
AGGUGAAACAGCUACAGGUGAAACAGCUACAGGUGAAACAGCUACAGGUGAAACAUCUAUAGGUGAAACAGCUACAGGUGAAACAGCUACAGGUAACGUAAGUGAAACAGCUACAGGUGAACAGCUAUAGGUAAACAGCUA